UCUCCGUAGGUGAACCUGCGGAGGGAUCAUUCUUGAAUGGCCUUCAUAGGCCUUCAUCCUUCCACCCUCGUGGAUUAAGACGUGCCUUCGGCCCUAGUGGCCGACUUUUAUGCCGUAGAUUGUGGUCUGACAUGAAUAUUAGGAUCAAAACUUUCAACAAAGGAUCUCUUGGCUCUU
rnacentral:misc_RNA from 1 species